ensembl:lncRNA
UGUUAAGACGCUUAACAUUAUACACACACCAUUUCCUAGAAGAACAUGUUGAAGGGAUUUUUUUCCUCUAAUGUUUCCAUUAACCAAAUUGAAUUAUGUACAUUAUAAAUUUGCUUCAAGGCUUUGAACUUGGGGGUUGCAAAUCAAGUGGUAAAGACUAUACUUUCUGGGAUCAUUUCUAUAGUUCGUUACUAGUUUCUCUGACUGUGUAGAGCAAAUCAAGUGGUAGAGUGUAUGCUUAGUUUGCUAAAGGUCCUGACUUCCAUCAUCAGCAACAAACACACACACACACACACACACACACACACACACACAGAAUAAAUCUUUUAAAUUUUUAUGUAAGUACAUACUGCAAGUCUUAACUUUGUCUAGUUAUGAGGGAAUUUUUUUAUGCCUUUUGAGUGACAUUUGCGAUAAGUUCUACAAGAUAAGUGGGUGUUGACUGAAGGUGGGUGGGCUGUGGCAGAUUUUUUAAAAUUGAGUCAGUUAUGUAUGUAAAGGCCAAGGGCUGAGGAGGAGCACUGAAUGCCAGAGAAAUGGAAGUGCUGAGGUGGGGGAACAGUAAGCUGGAGGCCGUGAGAUGCUGUCUAUGAAGGUGGACUGUUGGCAUGUGUCAAGUGGGAGCUUGGCAGAGUUUUGGUAUGCAAGUCUUUUGGAUUAGUGAGAAGACUGAGAGUUUGUAAUUGGGAAUUUGCUUAGAUUCUUUUGUUGUUAUUGCUUAUUUUCAUUUUUAUCUUGUGUAUAUAGGUUUUUUUUUUGCCUGCAUGUGUGUCUGUGCACCAUGUGCAUACAGUGUCCAUGGAGGCCAGCAGAGGGCAUUGGAUUCUAUGGGACUAGAAUUUCAGGCAGCUGUGAGCUGCUACGUGGUUACAGAGACUUGAACCGAGGUCCUCUGGAAGAUCAGCCGGUGCUCUUAACCAUUGAACCAUCUCUCCAGCUUUAGGAAAUGGUGGCUCAUUCAUUUGAGACAGGGACUAAUGUUUAACUGGUGGGUUCUGACUUGCUAUCAUGGCCAUCAAGCCCGGUGUAGGUGGUUGUGCUGGGUUUCUUGCGUGCUUGGCAGGCACGCUACCAACUGAGCUUUAUCCUUAAUCUUCAGAAUGUUCUUUUAAUGGUUCAAUCUGGCUGUGUUGCCUAGAGUGAAUUAGGAAGAAAAGCAAGACCAGCAAGGAGGCUAGGUUCAGGUUUCUAGUGGCAAAACAGUAAAGAUGGAAAGGAGUGGAAGCUACAGAGAGGGCUCAGUGCUUACACAUACUCGCUGCUCUGACAGGGGUCCAGGGUUUGGUUUCCAGCACAAUCAUCAGGUAACGCACAACAGUGUGUAACUACAGCUCCAGUUCCAGGUUAUAUGACCAGUCUGUCUGCUGCAGGCAGACACACACACACACACACACACACACACACACACACACACUUGAAAUAAUAAAAAUAAACCUUAUAAAAAGGAAAGAAGCGAAUACUUUGAAAAAUAUUUAUAGAGUAGAACUUGCAAGCCUUGGCAUUGAAUUUUAUUGAAAAGAGGAAUUUUCAAAACUCAACCCAAGGUUUCCAGCUUUAAUUAUUAGAGAACUGGGCCUGGAGAGAUGGCUCAGUGGUUAAGAGCACUGACUGCUCUUCCAGAGGUCCUGAGUUCAAAUCCCAGCAACCACAUGGUGGCUCACAACCAUCUGUAAUAGAAUCUGAU